rnacentral:lncRNA from 1 species
GCUGGAGAGGAGCGGACUCUUCCUGAUCGGCUCAUCCCGAGUCCUGUCCCUAGCAGACGCUUCGGUGGUUCUCAAAGUCAAUUUCCAGGGGUUUCUGUGACUAGUUCUAUUUCAGCGACAGGCAGCCAGCCUCACGGUACGGAGGUCGCGGUGGGCUCCGUCACGUGAUCCCGGAAGGCCACGUGACCGAAAGUUGGGGAAGAGGGCUCUGUUGUCCAUUAACGCGAAUUAUGAAACUAAUCCUUUGGAGCUGAUUCACAGAACAGUGGAAUAUUACAAGAGGGGAAACAAGAAAGUAUUACAAGAGGGCUUUGGGAGACCUUGGAUCUACAGAUCCUGGUAAGUAAACUUCAGUUACAGACAUGAGUAUUGACUUGUGCAGCCUGGCCUAUUAAUAUGAACAGAUACUACACUUCAUCUUAGCCAAAAGGCAAAGAAGCAGUCAUGGCCCUCUUUUAGAAUAAAACCUGAAUCUUAAGCA